CCAGCACUGGCCCCACCUCCCACGCGCCCGCGGGAGAUUUGCUUGGGGCUGGAUCCCCCGCCUACCGUUUCCCCGCAGCCGCCGGCGCUUCUGGCGCUUGUGACCCGAGCAGGAAGCCCAGAGAGAAACCAGAAAGACAGGAAGGGGAUUCCUGGACUUCCUUUCCACAUCCGGCAGGAACGCGACCCUCCUCCAGCUAGGAGCGCUUGUCCGGGUCUGGUGGACCCCUUACCCUGUGAUAAGGACCCAGAGGAUGCCCUUGUCCCCGGGAUUAGGGGGAACCCAAUGGAGGCCUCCACCCGGGGCCGAUUCCCACCCUGGGCCACAGGAGCUUUUUAGGCAGUGAAACUAUUCUAUGUGUAAUGGUGGAUAUGUUAUAGGAGGCAGAAACGAAUUAUUUGGGUAGACAGGGUAAAGCCAGUCCCCGGUAGAAAACUUUGCUUUUAACAAAAAGCAGCUCAAAAAUAGCUCCCUUGCUAACCUCAUGCAGUUCAAAGAAAUCACUUUUCUAACAAGAGGCCUGAAAGAGCAGACAGUAAAACACAGAAAAGACAGCUGGGACACAGAAGGACUGGGGUGGACAGCCGAGAGUCUCCCGGGCGCACCAAGAUGCCUGCAGCUUCAAGAAGAUGUAUGGGAACAGACACAGAAACUUUCCCUACCAGAUAAGCAGGACAAAGAAACACAGACUAAGAGUUGGCCUGUGUGGUCACGGAGUGGGUUAAGAGAUGAUAAAAAAAUCUGCUCUGUACAGAUGGCACACCUGGUCCCAACUAAACCCUGGGGCCCUAGAAAGAUAAGACAUCCCCUCCUCACAAGCCCCUCCUCAAGAGCCCCCUCCUCAAGAGCCCAUUUAUAAAAACUCUGACAUUCUUAACUACAACUUGGCAAUCUUCUCAGGAUCCCUCUCUAACAGAGACCUGUUCUUUCCUUUUGCCUAUUAAACUCCUGCUCCAAACUCACUCUGUCUGUGUGUGUGUCCGAGACCUCGAUCUCCUUGGCCAUGAGACUAAGAAUCUUGGUAUUUACCCCAGACAACGAGGCUGCUGCAGAUAUAUCUCACAUGUUUGUCAAACCCACAGAAUGUACAACAGAAAGAGGGAACCCUAAACGAUGGACUUACUUACAAUGUAUCAAUAUUUGUUCAUCAAGACAAAUUGUACAACACUAAUGGGCAAUGUUAAUAAUAAGGGAAAUUGUGAGGGAGGAAGAAGUGAUAAAUCAGAAAUCUACACUUGCCACUCAAUUUUUCCACAACCCUAAAACUAUUCUAAAAUAACAUGUAUUAAUUAUUUUUAAAAAGCAGAUGACUUUUUGUCAGUUAUGAUUGUUUUUAGCUAUGACAUAGAAAGCUAUAAUCAUCCUUCAAUUUAACUUAUAAUUUGUUGAUAUAUAUAUAUCAUAUAUAUGUAUGUGUAUAUAUAU
rnacentral:lncRNA from 10 species